AGGACGAACGCUGGCGGCGUGCUUAACACAUGCAAGUCGAGCGGAAAGGCCCUUCGGGGUACUCGAGCGGCGAACGGGUGAGUAACACGUGAGUAAUCUGCCCCUAGCUCUGGGAUAGCUCCGGGAAACCGGGAUUAAUACUGGAUACCCGACCACCUUAGACAUCUUUUGUGGUGGAAAGAAUUUCGGCUAGGGAUGAGCUCGCGGCCUAUCAGCUUGUUGGUGGGGUAACGGCCUACCAAGGCGACGACGGGUA
rnacentral:rRNA from 1 species